rnacentral:rRNA from 1 species
AUACGUAGGUGGCAAGCGUUGUCCGGAAUUAUUGGGCGUAAAGCGCGCGCAGGCGGUCCUUUAAGUCUGAUGUGAAAUCUUGCGGCUUAACCGCAAGUGGUCAUUGGAAGCUGGGGGACUUGAGUACAGAAGAGGAGAGUGGAAUUCCACGUGUAGCGGUGAAAUGCGUAGAGAUGUGGAGGAACACCAGUGGCGAAGGCGGCUCUCUGGUCUGUCACUGACGCUGAGGCGCGAAAGCGUGGGUAGCGAACAGGAUUAGAUACCCUGGUAGUCCACGCCGUAAACGAUGAGUGCUAGGUGUUGGGGGUAUCCACCCUCAGUGCUGAAGUUAACACAUUAAGCACUCCGCCUGGGGAGUACGGCCGCAAGGCUGAA